ACUUCAUAUAAGGGAUCACGUAAAAAACAUGUAAAUGGCUCAAUUACCCUUCCAUGAAUAUACAUACAAUUAGCACGCCUCAACCACAUUUAAGGUCUAAGAGAGAGAGUUUAAAAAUUUGAAGGAAAAAGCUGACAGUCUGGGCAUAAUUAGGCAGGAUAAGUUGGAAAAAGUAAAGGUAAAUUAGUAAAAUACGUAAAAUUUUCAAACACAGUUGAAAACGUAUGCAAUAUCCUGUUAUUAGAAACAGUAGUUUAAUGCUGGACUGAAAAUAGCGUAUGGUGGGAACGCAGAAGUUAUUUUUUAGAAUUACAAAAAAAAAAAGAGUACAUCCCUAAAAAAUACAGAGGUCAUUAUAAAUUUAGGAAAAGCAGUAGUCUAGUCUUAGACUGGAAAGAGCAACUUAUGUGAAAAAACACAUAGGUGAAAGAACAUGACAUGAAUUUAGUAGUGAAACCAAACAGACUUCAGAGAGGCAGAUUAGUUUGGGCAACUUAAAUGGGUCGAAUACGAUUAAUCAUUUUUAUUCCAGCCUAAGGCUUGCCUAGACGUUAUAACAGACAUGCAGAUUGUUCUUUAGUUUAGAGAAAAAAAACCAGUUUAUGUAGUUGAAUAAUUAAUAGGAUGGUCAAAACACUGCAAGUGUCCUAAUUGCAUGAUAUCUAAUGCACGUGAUGGUCUUAAAAACAGGAUAUCUAAAUGUAGUGGUAGAAUUUAAAUUAUUAACUGGUUAUGGUUAUGGUAAAAUAUCAGAUUGAAAGCAAAGAUCCUAGAAGCAGGAUUUCUAUAUGCAGAAUGUAUGUAUUAUACAUGAUUUCUAAUGCAUGAAUGUAUAAACGAAAUCCUAUAGGAAUGUUUUCUACGCAUACCCUUAAUAAACCUGCAUAACACUUCCCCAAUUUCACUAUAAAUCACCAUAUUUCUUUACAAAUU
rnacentral:lncRNA from 1 species